AUUUGAAUAGCUUAUAUUUAGAGCGUGACACUGAAGAUGUUAAUGAGAUAUUUAUUAUCUUUAAAUAA
rnacentral:tRNA from 1 species